rnacentral:rRNA from 1 species
AUCAUGGCUCAGAUUGAACGCUGGCGGCAUGCCUUACACAUGCAAGUCGAACGGCAGGCACGGGUGCUUGCACCUGGUGGCGAGUGGCGAACGGGUGAGUAAUACAUCGGAACGUACCUUAUCGUGGGGGAUAACGCAGCGAAAGCUGUGCUAAUACCGCAUACGCCCUGAGGGGGAAAGCGGGGGAUCGAAAGACCUCGCGCGAUUAGAGCGGCCGAUGCCUGAUUAGCUUGUUGGUGGGGUAAAAGCCCACCAAGGCGACGAUCAGUAGCUGGUCUGAGAGGACGAUCAGCCACACUGGGACUGAGACACGGCCCAGACUCCUACGGGAGGCAGCAGUGGGGAAUUUUGGACAAUGGGGGAAACCCUGAUCCAGCAAUGCCGCGUGAGUGAAGAAGGCCUUCGGGUUGUAAAGCUCUUUUUGUCAGGGAAGAAACACCGGCUCUAACACAGUCCGGGAAUGACGGUACCUGAAGAAUAAGCACCGGCUAACUACGUG